rnacentral:rRNA from 1 species
GAUGAACGCUAGCGACAGGCCUAACACAUGCAAGUCGAGGGGCAGCACAGAGGUAGCUUGCUACUUUGGGUGGCGACCGGCGCACGGGUGCGUAACAGGUGUGCAAUCUGUCCAUAAUCGGGGAAUAGCCCAGCGAAAGUUGGAUUAAUGCUCCAUGUGAGCUUUAGAGGCAUCUCUUUAGUUUGAAACGUAAGGAUUAUGGGUGAGCACGCUUCUGAUUAGGUAGUUGGUGAGGUAACGGCUCACCAAGCCGACGAUCAGUAGGGGUUCUGAGAGGAAGGUCCCCCACACUGGUACUGAGACACGGACCAGACUCCUACGGGAGGCAGCAGUGAGGAAUAUUGGUCAAUGGGCGAGAGCCUGAACCAGCCAAGUCGCGUGAGGGACGACGGUACUAAGUAUUGUAAACCUCUUUUGUCAGGGAACAAAGAGACCACGUGUGGUAAGAUGAGUGUACCUGAAGAAAAAGCAUCGGCUAACUCCGUGCCAG